rnacentral:rRNA from 1 species
CGUGUAGGCGGUUUGGUAUGUCCGGCGUGAAAGCCCUCGGCUUAACCGAGGAAUGGCACCGGAAACUACCUAACUAGAGUGCGAGAGGGGGUGGCGGAAUUCCUAGUGUAGAGGUGAAAUUCGUAGAUACUAGGAGGAACACCCGAGGCGAAGGCGGCCACCUGGCUCGCUACUAACGCUGAGACGCGAAAGCGUGGGGAGCAAACAGGAUUAGAUACCCUGGUAGUCC